UACGGAGGGUGCAAGCGUUAUCCGGAUUCACUGGGUUUAAAGGGUGCGUAGGUGGGCAGUUAAGUCAGUGGUGAAAUCUCCGGGCUCAACCCGGAAACUGCCAUUGAUACUAUCUGUCUUGAAUAUCGUGGAGGUAAGCGGAAUACGUCAUGUAGCGGUGAAAUGCUUAGAUAUGACAUAGAACACCAAUUGCGAAGGCAGCUUACUACCCGAAUAAUGACACUGAGGCACGAAAGCGUGGGGAUCAAACAGG
rnacentral:rRNA from 1 species